rnacentral:rRNA from 1 species
GCAGUCGAACGCUGAAGCCUGGUGCUUGCACCGGGUGGAUGAGUGGCGAACGGGUGAGUAACACGUGAGUAACCUGCCCCUGACUUCGGGAUAAGCCCGGGAAACUGGGUCUAAUACCGGAUACGACUGCCGGACGCAUGUCUGGUGGUGGAAAGUUUUUUCGGUUGGGGAUGGGCUCGCGGCCUAUCAGUUUGUUGGUGAGGUAAUGGCUCACCAAGACGACGACGGGUAGCCGGCCUGAGAGGGCGACCGGCCACACUGGGACUGAGACACGGCCCAGACUCCUACGGGAGGCAGCAGUGGGGAAUAUUGCACAAUGGGGGAAACCCUGAUGCAGCGACGCAGCGUGCGGGAUGACGGCCUUCGGGUUGUAAACCGCUUUCAGCAGGGAAGAAGCGCAAGUGACGGUACCUGCAGAAGAAGUACCGGCUAACUACGUGCCAGCAGCCGCGGUAAUACGUAGGGUACGAGCGUUGUCCGGAAUUAUUGGGCGUAAAGAGCUCGUAGGUGGUUGGUCACGUCUGCUGUGGAAACGCAACGCUUAACGUUGCGCGUGCAGUGGGUACGGGCUGACUAGAGUGCAGUAGGGGAGUCUGGAAUUCCUGGUGUAGCGGUGAAAUGCGCAGAUAUCAGGAGGAACACCGGUGGCGAAGGCGGGACUCUGGGCUGUAACUGACACUGAGGAGCGAAAGCAUGGGGAGCGAACAGGAUUAGAUACCCCUGGUAGUCCAUGCCGUAAACGUUGGGCACUAGGUGUGGGGGGGCAUUUCCACGUUCUCCCGCGCCGUAGCUAACGCAUUAAGUGCCCCGCCUGGGGAGUACGGUCGCAAGGCUAAAACUCAAAGGAAUUGACGGGGGGCCCGCACAAGCGGCGGAGCAUGCGGAUUAAUUCGAUGC